rnacentral:misc_RNA from 1 species
AAGUCGUAACAAGGUUUCCGUAGGUGAACCUGCGGAAGGAUCAUUAUUAAUUCUUCUAGUUAAGCGGCUGCGCGUUUUUUUUUUGGAAAAAACCGCGGCUGUUUUUCUUGUGAACUGGGGCCUGCUUUUGGAGUUUUACGCUUCUCUGGCGGCCCGUCGUUAAUGCUCUUGUGUUAAUUUUUUUGUUUUUGCUUUUUUUAAGCUUUACCGCUUAAGAAAAAUAAUUACAAGACAACUUUCAGCAAUGGAUCUCUUGGCUCUU